rnacentral:rRNA from 1 species
GAUGAACGCUGGCGGCGUGCCUAAUACAUGCAAGUCGAGCGAACAGACGAGGAGCUUGCUCCUCUGACGUUAGCGGCGGACGGGUGAGUAACACGUGGAUAACCUACCGAUAAGACUGGGAUAACUUCGGGAAACCGGAGCUAAUACGGGAUAAUAUAUUGAACCGCAUGGUUCAAUAGUGAAAGACGGUUUUGCUGUCACUUAUAGAUGGAUCCGCGCCGCAUUAGCUAGUUGGUAAGGUAACGGCUUACCAAGGCAACGAUGCGUAGCCGACCUGAGAGGGUGAUCGGCCACACUGGAACUGAGACACGGCCCAGACUCCUACGGGAGGCAGCAGUAGGGAAUCUUCCGCAAUGGGCGAAAGCUUGACGGAGCAACGCCGCGUGAGUGAUGAAGGUCUUCGGAUCGUAAAACUCUGUUAUUAGGGAAGAACAAAUGUGUAAGUAACUAUGCACGUCUUGACGGUACCUAAUCAGAAAGCCACGGCUAACUACGUG